AUUGAACGCUGGCGGCAGGCCUAACACAUGCAAGUCGAGCGAGCGGCGGACGGGUGAGUAAUGUAUGGGGAUCUGCCCGAUAGAGGGGGCUAACUACUGGCAACGGUGGCUAAUACCGCAUACUAUAGGAUGAACACAUAUGGGAUUAGCUAGUAGGUGGGGUAAAGGCUCACCUGGGCGACGAUCGCUAGCGGGUCUGAGAGGAUGAUCAGCCACACUGGGACUGAGACACGGCCCAGACUCCUACGGGAGGCAGCAGUGGGGAAUAUGGAACAAUGGGCGCAAGUCGGAUGCAGCCAUGCCGCGUGGAUGAAGAAGGCCUUGGGGUUGUAAAGUACUUUCAGCGGGGAGGCGGUACCCGCAGAAGAAGCACCGGCUAACUCCGUGCCAGCAGCCGCGGUAAUUC
rnacentral:rRNA from 1 species